AUCCUUCUAGUAUAAAUAAUAUAAGUGACUUCCAAUCACACGCUCCCAGUUUAAACCUAGGGAAGGAUA
rnacentral:tRNA from 1 species